AGAGUUUGAUCAUGGCUCAGAGCGAACGCUGGCGGCAGGCUUAACACAUGCAAGUCGAGCGGGCGUAGCAAUACGUCAGCGGCAGACGGGUGAGUAACGCGUGGGAACGUACCUUUUGGUUCGGAACAACCCAGGGAAACUUGGGCUAAUACCGGAUAAGCCCUUACGGGGAAAGAUUUAUCGCCGAAAGAUCGGCCCGCGUCUGAUUAGCUAGUUGGUGGGGUAAUGGCCCACCAAGGCGACGAUCAGUAGCUGGUCUGAGAGGAUGAUCAGCCACAUUGGGACUGAGACACGGCCCAAACUCCUACGGGAGGCAGCAGUGGGGAAUAUUGGACAAUGGGCGCAAGCCUGAUCCAGCCAUGCCGCGUGAGUGAUGAAGGCCCUAGGGUUGUAAAGCUCUUUUGUGCGGGAAGAUAAUGACGGUACCGCAAGAAUAAGCCCCGGCUAACUUCGUGCCAGCAGCCGCGGUAAUACGAAGGGGGCUAGCGUUGCUCGGAAUCACUGGGCGUAAAGGGUGCGUAGGCGGGUCUUUAAGUCAGGGGUGAAAUCCUGGAGCUCAACUCCAGAACUGCCUUUGAUACUGAAGAUCUUGAGUUCGGGAGAGAUGAGUGGAACUGCGAGUGUAGAGGUGAAAUUCGUAGAUAUUCGCAAGAACACCAGUGGCGAAGGCGGCUCACUGGCCCGAUACUGACGCUGAGGCACGAAAGCGUGGGGAGCAAACAGGAUUAGAUACCCUAGUAGUCC
rnacentral:rRNA from 1 species